rnacentral:rRNA from 1 species
GACGAACGCUGGCGGCGUGCUUAACACAUGCAAGUCGAGCGGUAAGGCCCUUUCGGGGGGUACACGAGCGGCGAACGGGUGAGUAACACGUGGGUGACCUGCCCUUAGCUCUGGGAUAAGCCUGGGAAACUGGGUCUAAUACCGGAUAUGACUCCAUGACGCAUGUUGUGGGGUGGAAAGCCUUGUGCGGCUAGGGGAUGGGCCCGCGGCCUAUCAGCUUGUUGGUGGGGUGAUGGCCUACCAAGGCGACGACGGGUAGCCGGCCUGAGAGGGCGACCGGCCACACUGGGACUGAGACACGGCCCAGACUCCUACGGGAGGCAGCAGUGGGGAAUCUUGCGCAAUGGGCGAAAGCCUGACGCAGCGACGCCGCGUGAGGGAUGACGCCU